rnacentral:rRNA from 1 species
GACAGAGGGGGCAAGCGUUGCUCGGAAUUACUGGGCGUAAAGGGCGCGUAGGCGGAAUGGCAAGUCGGUCGUGAAAUCCUUCGGCUCAACCGAAGAACGUCGAUCGAAACUGCCGUUCUUGAGGAUUGCAGAGGAGACUGGAAUUCCCGGUGUAGCGGUGAAAUGUGUAGAGAUCGGGAGGAACACCGGUGGCGAAGGCGGCUCGCUGGGCCAUUCCUGACGCUGAGACGCGAAAGCUAGGGGAGCGAACAGG